UAUUGCCCCCCCCCCGUAACUUCGGGAGAAGGGGUGCCCUUCGACGUGAAAGUUAAUCUUGAGCGUUGAGGGGUCGCAGUGAAAUGGCUCUAGUGACUGGUUAACAAAACCACAGGUCUCUGCAAAGCCGAAAGGCGAUGUAUAGGGGCUGACACCUGCCCAGUGCCGGAAGGUUAAAGGGAGAGGUUAGGCGCAAGCCGAAGCUUUGAACUGAAGCCCCGGUGAACGGCGGCCGUAACUAUAACGGUCCUAAGGUAGCGAAAUUCCUUGUCGGGUAAGUUCCGACCCGCACGAACGGUGUAACAACUAGAGCACUGUCUCAACGAGGGACCCGGCGAAAUUGAAAUGGCUGUGAAGAUGCGGCCUACCCGCAGCAGGACAAAAAGACCCCGUGGAGCUUUACUGCAUCCUGGCAUUGAGUUUGGGCAAGGUUUGUGUAGGAUAGGUGGGAGGCUGUGAAACUGGAGCGCUAGCUUCGGUGGAGCCGUCGGUGAAAUACCACCCUAACUUUGUUUAGACCCUAACCUCAUUCCGUCAUCCGGAUGAGGGACCGUGCCAGGUGGGCAGUUUGACUGGGGCGGUCGCCUCCUAAAAGGUAACGGAGGCGCCCAAAGGUUCCCUCAGGCAGAAUGGAAACCUGCCAAAGAGUGUAAAGGCAUAAGGGAGCUUGACUGCAAGACCAACGCGUCGAGCAGAGACGAAAGUCGGGCUUAGUGAUCCCACGGUACUGAGUGGAAGGGCCGUGGCUUACCGGAUAAAAGCUACCCCGGGGAUAACAGGCUGGUGAAGUCCAAGAGUCCAUAUCGACGACUUCGCUCGGCACCUCGAUGUCGGCUCAUCGCAUCCUGGGGCUGUAUCAGGUCCCAAGGGUCGGGCUGUUCGCCCGUUAAAGCGGUACGCGAGCUGGGUUCAGACCGUCGUGAGACAGGUCGGUCUCUAUCCGCUGUGGGCGUAAGGGAUUUGAGUGGAGCUGCCCCUAGUACGAGAGGACCGGGGUGGACUGACCGAUGGUGUUCCAGUUGUCGUGCCAACGGCAUCGCUGGGUAGCUAAGUCAGGCAGAGAUAACCGCUGAAUGCAUCUAAGUGGGAAACUCGCCACAAGAUUAGAUCCCUGUUUUCCCGUAAGGGAGUAAGAUCACAGGUAGACUACCUGUUUGAUAGGCAGAAUGUGUAAGCGCAGCAAUGCGUUGAGCUAAUCUGUACUAAUGAUCGAGGGCUUCUUCAU
rnacentral:rRNA from 1 species